rnacentral:rRNA from 1 species
UACGGAGGUGGCAAGCGUUGUCCGGAUUUACUGGGUGUAAAGGGCGUGUAGCCGGGCUGACAAGUCAGAUGUGAAAUCCGGGGGCUCAACCCUCGAACUGCAUUUGAAACUGUUGGUCUUGAGUAUCGGAGAGGCAGGCGGAAUUCCUGGUGUAGCGGUGAAAUGCUUAGAUAUCACGAAGAACUCCGAUUGCGAAGGCAGCUCACUGGACUGCAACUGACACUGAGGCUCGAAAGUGUGGGUAUCAAACAGG